AUGGAUUCAGAGCUCUCGAUAGCGUUCUUCUUGUUGAUAGUUUUUGCAGCGUGUUGUUGCUCUUCUUCGGGUACCCACCAUGACCCCUCGGUCGUUGGGUACUCGCAGGAGGACAUCGCGCUGCCGAGCGGGAUUCAUGAUCUCUUCAGCUCGUGGUCGGUGAAGCACAGCAAGGUCUACGUGACCCCGAAGGAGAAGGUGCGGAGGUACGAGGUGUUCCGGCAGAACCUGAAGCACAUCGUGGAGACCAACAGGAGGAACGGGAGCUACUGGCUGGGCCUGAACCAGUUCGCCGACGUCGCCCACGACGAGUUCAAGGCCGGCUACCUUGGGCUGAGCACCGGCGGGCGGCCGCACGCUCCGACGACGGCGUUCCGGUACGAGGCCGCCGUGGACCUGCCCUGGGAGGUGGACUGGAGGAAGAAGGGGGCCGUGACGCCGGUCAAGAACCAGGGAAAAUGCGGAAGCUGCUGGGCCUUCUCGACUGUGGCGGCGGUGGAAGGGAUAAACCAGAUCGUGACGGGCAGGCUGGAGUCGCUGUCGGAGCAGGAGCUGAUGGACUGCGACAGCACCUUCGAUCACGGCUGCGGAGGGGGCCUCAUGGACUUCGCCUACGCCUACAUAGUGGGCAACCAGGGGAUCCACACCGACGGCGACUACCCCUACCUCAUGGAGGAGGGCGACUGCAAGGAGAAGCAGCCCCACUCCAAGGUCGUCACCAUCAGCGGCUACGAGGACGUGCCGGAGAACAGCGAGGUGAGCCUGCUGAAGGCGCUGGCGCACCAGCCCGUCAGCGUGGGCAUCGCUGUGGGGAGCAGAGACUUCCAGUUCUACAAAGGGGGGGUGUUUGAAGGAACGUGUGGCACUCAGCUGGACCAUGCGCUGACGGCCGUCGGAUACGGCUCAUCCAACGGCCAGGACUACAUCAUCAUGAAGAACUCGUGGGGCGGGGGCUGGGGCGAGCAAGGGUAUAUCAGGAUCAAGAGGGGCACUGGGAGGCCCGAGGGCGUCUGCGACAUCUACAAGAUUGCCUCUUACCCUAUCAAGAACAACAGAACGGGUUGGGGGUGGGGGGCCUGA
rnacentral:rRNA from 1 species